GGGUUCCUUCCAUGCAUUAGCAUUGAGCUUUGUGUUAUUACACGUGAGGAAGGUGGAAACCGUGAUAUUUGCAUUAAUAUUAAUUGAGACUCACCAUUUCCACAGGUCUUUGAACACUGACUGACAACAGGACUCCACACAAACACACGAGCCUGUCUGGAGCGUGGUGUCAUGUCAGCCCUUUGGAUGGGCAGCUCCUGAUUCCCACCCAAUGGGGCAAACAUCUAUGACACAGAGCACAAGAUCAAGUGGUUUGAUCUGCUUCAAACAAAAAGUUUGAUCCACUUCAACCUCUUGUCCAUCCUCUUGCCGAACACAUGACACAACACGUUUUGCUUCUCCUGGUCCGCACACUGCAGAACAGUUUCCUGGCUCAGACACAGACCACCUGUGAACAAACAAAAUGUAUUUUCAUUUAAAUCUCAGUUUGGUGCAACAGAAUCAUACCACAAAUCCUGUUAAUUAAAGAAAAAGACACUAAUAAUAACCACAAACAUCCACGUCAAACUAUUUAACGAUCAUCAGCUGUACCUGGCAGGACAGUGUUGCAUAUUACACUUUUCAGCAGAGUGUGGAGCAGCGUCAGAGGAACAUUCAGAGUCUUGAACAAUCACCAACUCAGAUCCUUGUUUUUGAACACAUCGGACAAGACGGAGCCUCACUCCCCCUCCACAGGAGGCACUGCAAGCGCCAAAACUUCCUGCAUCCCACCUGUGAAACAAUAAAUUAUUCAUGCAUUCUCAUCUGUGUGUGUGUGUGUGUGUGUGUGUGUGUGUGUGUGUGUGUGUGUGUUUGGGGAAAAAAACAAGACACAACAGAGCUGGGAGUGAAACUAACCUGGGGGGACAUGCUGUUAGGUGACAGAUUGUGUGGAGGGGGGUGUUUGGAGGAGGAUCUUUACAGUGGUGCUGCUGCAAAUGUAUUUUAUUUCCUUUGUCAACACAGACAUGCACAUUCUUCUGCACACCUGUAAAACAAGAAGUUGAAAUAAAAUGUCUCUGAAGUCAA